rnacentral:rRNA from 1 species
UCCACGACGACGGCAGAGAUUGUCGUUUUCCCUUCGGGGACGUGGAGACAGGUGCUGCAUGGCUGUCGUCAGCUCGUGUUGCGAAAUGUUCGGUUUAAGUCCGGCAACGAGCGCAACCCCUAUCCUUAGUUACCAGCAUUAAGUUGGGGACUCUAGGGAGACCGCCGGUGUUUAAACCGGAGGAAGGCGGGGAUGACGUCAAGUCCUCAUGGCCCUUACGGCCAGGGCUACACACGUACUACAAUGGUAGAGACAAACCGUUGCGAAGCCGAGAGGUGGAGCUAAUCGGUAAAACACUGCCUCAGUUCGGAUUGAGGUCUGCAACUCGACCUCAUGAAGUUGGAAUCGCUAGUAAUCGCGGAUCAGCAUGCCGCGGUGAAUACGUUCCCGGGCCUU